AUGGGUAUUAAUAUACCGUUCAAAAUGGUUCACAAUUGAGAGUUGAUUGUGGUUUAAUUUUGGAAGAGAUUUGCAGAGGAGGAGCGGUUAUUGAGCGUGGGAGAGGGAACGUAAAAUAGAAUUAUUUGUUGAUUGGGAGAAGAAAUACGGCAGAUUUGGAGAGGAGAAACUCUGCGCUGGGAUCUUCUAAAUUCUUGGAAUCAUUUAGUAGGAUUUAAUUUGUUUGGGCUCAACAUCAUUUGUAUUUUAUUUAAAUUGUAUAGCCCACAAUUUAUUUUCUAUCAGACUGGAUUUUUGUAUUAUUUAUUCAA